rnacentral:rRNA from 1 species
CCUACGGGACGCAGCAGUGAGGAAUCUUGGUCAAUGGACGAGAGUCUGAACCAGCCAAGUAGCGUGAAGGAUGACUGCCCUAUGGGUUGUAAACUUCUUUUAUAUGGGAAUAAAAUGUUCCACGUGUGGGAUUUUGUAUGUACCCUAUGAAAAAGGAUCGGCUAACUCCGUGCCAGCAGCCGCGGUAAUACGGAGGAUCCGAGCGUUAUCCGGAUUUGUUGGGUUUAAAGGGAGCGUAGGUGGAUUGUUAAGUCAGUUGUGAAUGUGUGCGGCUCAACCGUAAAAUUGCAGUUGAAACUGGCAGUCUUGAGUACAGUAGAGGUGGGCGGAAUUCGUGGUGUAGCGGUGAAAUGCUUAGAUAUCACGAAGAACUCCGAUUGCGAAGGCAGUUCACUGGACUGCAACUGACACUGAGGCUCGAAAGUGUGGGUAUCAAACAGGAUUAGAUACCCUUGUAGUC